GACGAACGCUGGCGGCGUGCUUAACACAUGCAAGUCGAACGGAAAGGCCCUGCUUUUGUGGGGUGCUCGAUUGGCGAACGGGUGAGUAACACGUGAGUAACCUGCCCUUGACUUUGGGAUAACUUCAGGAAACUGGGGCUAAUACCGGAUAGGAGCUCCUGCUGCAUGGUGGGGGUUGGAAAGUUUCGGCGGUUGGGGAUGGACUCGCGGCUUAUCAGCUUGUUGGUUGGGUAGUGGCUUACCAAGGCUUUGACGGGUAGCCGGCCUGAGAGGGUGACCGGCCACAUUGGGACUGAGAUACGGCCCAGACUCCUACGGGAGGCAACAGUGGGGAAUAUUGCACAAUGGGCGGAAGCCUGAUGCAGCAACGCCGCGUGCGGGAUGACGGCCUUCGGGUUGUAAACCGCUUUCGCCUGUGACGAAGCGUGAGUGACGGUAAUGGGUAAAGAAGCACCGGCUAACUACGUG
rnacentral:rRNA from 1 species